CUGACCCUUUAUAUAUAUGAUAUCCUUUUCUCUUACAAUUUUUUUUAUUCUAAUUCAAUAAUAAUAAACAAUAUUAACACUACAAUACUAUGUUUUUUCACAGGAAGUAUACUAUCUAGGCUCAUUCUGUGGUGGUAUCGAGCAAGGAGGGAGUAACUGUGAGUGUUUCAGCUUGACAUAUAUAUGUUUUUGGUUUCUGAUUUUAUUGUUAGUGUUAGUAAAUUUGAAGAACCUUGUGUAGAAAUGAAAUUUCUCUUUUUAUAGGAUAUAGAUUGACUUUUGUUCUAUGAGAUAUUCAUAUAGAAAAGCAUAAGAUAGAUAUAGAGUAGUUAUUUACCUGAUGAAGCCACAUCAAGCACAAUCUUUUUUUUCCAGCCCUGAGCCUUGCAAUGAUUGUCCUAUAGAGAAAUUCAAGAGAACUAAGUUUAGUGAUAAUAAAAUGUUAGUAAAAGACAAUAAAAAAUUGAAACCUUCUUGUCAAUUAGAUUUAGAACCAUAU
rnacentral:lncRNA from 1 species